UACGUAGGGACCAAGCGUUGUUCGGAUUUACUGGGCGUAAAGGGCGCGUAGGCGGCGUGGUAAGUCACUUGUGAAAUCUCUGAGCUUAACUCAGAACGGCCAAGUGAUACUGCUGUGCUAGAGUGCAGAAGGGGCAAUCGGAAUUCUUGGUGUAGCGGUGAAAUGCGUAGAUAUCGAGAGGAACACCUGCGGCGAAGGCGGGUUGCUGGGCUGAUACUGACGCUGAGGCGCGAAAGCUAGGGGAGCGAACGGG
rnacentral:rRNA from 1 species